rnacentral:lncRNA from 10 species
AUGCCGGUGAGAUGUGCAGGAGCUUCCUGAAGGGCCGCAUCAUCCAGCCUUUAUUUUUGUACCUCUGUAUGAGUUUUUCUCAACUCCUGCUGUCCAGUAGCCUCACUUAGGGAACCUGUAAAUAAUACCUAUGCUUGGGCCCCACCCAAGACCCAUUAAACUGGAUUAUCUGGGGAGGAAACCUGGCAGUGGUGCUUUUUAAAAAGCUCCCCAGAUGACUUUAGUGUGCAGCCUGGAUUGAGAAUUGCUGGAUCAAUUGCUGGGGGAAGAGAGAGUUCUGUGCCAGCAUAUGAGUGGGUUUUCAUAACACUAAGGAGCCUUACUGUGUGUAGGUGAUACCUACACUUCAACCAGGAGUUCUGACAGAUCAAGGACUAUUGCCCUACCAGCUGGGGAGUGACACGAGAGAGGCAUGGGCAAGGAACCAGUACAGGGAGCCCACUUACCUGGGAGAGCUGUACAAAGUUCACUGCAAAGGGUGAAACCUGAAUUGUUUGCAUUAUGCGUGGGUCUUUGGCAGAUAGAGAUGGGGAGACAGGACAUUUCCGCAGAAAGGACAAUGUGCAGGCGUGAUGCAGCAUGAUUUUUCAGGGGGACCAGAAGCCCCGGGCACAGCGGUCACCCCGGUGGAGUCAGCGGCACCAUGAGAGGCGCUACCCAGGAACAGCUCUGUGCACCUUGACUGCUCACCGGCCAAGCCCAAGUCCCUGAGCCUGCUCCUGACACCCAGUCGGCUUGCUUCCCCGCCUCAUCUUUGACUGCUCUUCCUUUCAGUCACCCCUCAUCUUCCUUCUACUUCUAUGCAGGUCCAAGCAUACUUACUGUGGCUUAUUUUGUUCCCUCUGCCUGAAAGAGGUCUCUUCACCUGUCAAACUCCCGGGUACCCUUCAGACUGAGAUGAUUGUCCCCUUGAAUGUGAAUUUCCCUGAGGCAAAACUCACCGGUUCUGCUGCUGCGUCUGUGUUCCUUCAACCCAUUCUCCACACAGGGCCAGAGCCAUCUUAGCUCCAGGCACGUCACCAGUUCACGUCCCAACGAGUUUAGAAUGAGUUCACAUUCUUUGGUGGCCACAUGCCUGCCCUACUGGCUCAUCUCUGACCUCACUCUCACCAUGCUCCUCUUCCUUCUAGCACCAUCGGCCUCCUGGCACUUCCUGGAACUGCCUCAGGUCUUUCCUCUUGCCUCAGGUCCUUUGCACAAAUGAUUCCCUCCUCUCUUUCCCUGGAAUUCUCACUGUGUAUCUUCCAGAUCUCUGCUUAAAUGUCGUCUCCUCAGACAGGCCUUCCACACCUUCCUCUCCAAAAGAGGUUCUCACCAUUGUCUCAUUAUAACAAGGCUAGUCUAAGUCCAUAUAUGCUGCUAUAACAAAACACAUAGAGGGGGCAGCUUGUAAACAACAGAGAUGUAUUUCUCACUGUUCUGCAGGCUGGGAAGUCCAAGGUAAAUGUACUGGCUAAUCUAACGUCUGGUGAAGACCCACUUCCUGGUUCAUAGGUGGUGCCUUCUCACUUCAUUGUCACAUGAUAGAAGGGGUGAGGGAGUUCUCUGGGUCCCUUUUAUAAGGGUGCUAAUCCCAUUCAAGAAGGCUCCACAUUCAUGACCUAAUCACCUCCUAAAGCCCCACCUUCUAAUACCAUGACCAUAUGGUUUUUGCUGUGUCCCCACCCAAAUCUCUUCCUGAAUUAUAGCCCCCACAAUUCCCAUGUGUCAUGGGAGGGACCAGGUAGGAGGUAAUUGAAUCAUGGGGGUGGGUCUUUCUAGUGCUGUUCUCGUGAUAGUGAAUAAGUCUCACGAGAUCUGAUGGUUUUAUAAAGGGGAGUUUCCCGCACAAGUUCUCUUCUCUUGUCCACUGCCAUGUGAGAAGUGUCUUUCACCUUCCACCGUGAUUAUGAGGCCUCCCCAGCCAUGUGGAACUGUGAGUCCAUUAAACCUCUUUCUUUUGUAAGUUGCCCAGUCUCAAGUAUGUCUUUAUCAGCAGUGUGAAAACGGACUAAUACACAUCACCUUGCAGGUGAGAAUUUCAACAUAUGAAUUUUGGGGGGACACAAAAAUUCAGACCACAGCAUUUAGUCAUUGUUCUCUGUCUUUCUUUGUUGACUUCAGUUAUGACCACCUCCUAGCUAGAGUGUGAGCUUUGUGAGACAGAGACCACCUGUGUUGCAGCAGAAUAUUUGUUGAAUAAAUUAAUGAAGUAUUAAUUAUUAGGUAUUGCCAUUUUAAUGAGCAUGUUUCCUUCAUUGCACUGCAAGUCCAUUGAAACUAUUAGCCUUUGUGAUUUUGACAUAUAUAUUUUGGCCUGGCCCCAAAUCUAAAUAUUUGCAGGAUUGAAGAGAACUUGACUCAUGAUUGGAAUGAACUGCAAAGAGGAAGCUUUCAAUACUUGAGCACUUCAAACUGAACCUCUGAAGUGGGACCGAACCCAAUGCAAGCCCUAGGCCAAGAUUCAAGGGCAGUUCCUUAAUGUUGCAAGUGACUUAAGGAAAUGAUCACUGGCCAUAGGCAGAGCAGGAGAGAGCAGACUGAGCUGAAGGGAAAGUUACUGGUUUACCUCUGGGGUUUCCCUCUGU